rnacentral:rRNA from 1 species
CUAGUAAUCGCGGAUCAGCAAUGCCGCGGUGAAUACGUUCCCGGGCCUUGUACACACCGCCCGUCACACCAUGGGAGUCGGCUGUACCAGAAGUGGGUGGCCUAACCCUCUUCGGAGGGAGGGUGCUCACCACGGUAUGGUCGAUGACUGGGGUGAAGUCGUAACAAGGUAGCCGUAGGGGAACCUGCGGCUGGAUCACCUCCUUUCUAAGCUU